rnacentral:rRNA from 1 species
ACGCUCGACACCUACGGGAGGAAGCAGUGGGGAAUAUUGCACAAUGGGGGAAACCCUGAUGCAGCGACGCCGCGUGGAGGAAGAAGGUCUUCGGAUUGUAAACUCCUGUUGUUGGGGAAAAAGAGGAUGGUACCCAACAAGGAAGUGACGGCUAACUACGUGCCAGCAGCCACGGUAAUCUGAGCGGGCUGGCAAGGC